UUUUUUCUGCAGGAACUAACAAAAUGUUUAAAGCAUAUGACAGCAGCAUACUACUGAGCCAAUUGUAUUUAUCUUCCAGCUAUUUGGUUAUAAUUUCCAGUUCACUCCAUGUUUGGUCACCUGCCUGAUUUCAACAAUGACAAGCUUUUGAUUAGUUGGGGAACCUGGACUAAAUUGAAUCACUUUUCUUCAUUGUUGAAACUAUUGAGAAUGCUUACCUGAUUAUCUUCCAUCUUUGACAACUCUUAACGUACAGUCCAGUGAGCAAAUGUUACUUUCAGAUUGUCGAUAUCCAUAACUUGAGUUAUCGUGGGUAACUAGUUAUCCAAAAAUGGAGUCAUUUCCUCCUGGGGCCUGAAUUUACAGAAUGAAUAAAGCAUAUGACAACAUGGGGUACUGCCAAUUGUAACAACUCAGCUUCCCCUGCGAUAACUGCUUCUCUAUAGGUUGCACCAAUCUUCCUCUCUCAUACUACACUUGGAUUGUAACUAGAAUUUCCUCAUCAAAUUAAUAAUUCACUUGAUCUUCAUUAGAGGUUGUUGUUGCCAUGCCUGCUCUUCUCUUUUAUCAAAUCUCAUUGUUGCUCUUGCUCAUUGGCCCUACAGUCCAAGAUAGAGAAAGAAAAUGCAGUGAAUGUCAUUUUCUGCGGUUGGUAUGUCAGAAAACUCUUUUCUUCCCAAUCU